AAGAGAAUGAGUAACUAAAAGGAGCUGCUAACUACCUUUAAAGCGGUUAAAC
rnacentral:tRNA from 1 species